GGCCAAUCCCGGUGGAAAUGGCUCUAUGAUGAAUAUAGAAGAGAGUGCCAACUGUUAUCUCAUCUCUGCUCCCGGCCAUUAUUGCAUCCCAUUGGUUUAU
rnacentral:misc_RNA from 1 species